GUUAUGACUUCCUUAAAUUUAUUCAUUUUCUACAGUAUUCAUCUGCAUUAAUGUAAUUUCAGAUGUCUGUUAUAAUAAACAACUGUGCAAAAAUGGAGGUACUUGCAGGACAACAAAACCUAAUAGGUAUAAAUGUGACUGCAAACCUCCAUAUUCUGGCCGACUCUGUGAAAAAGUCAGUGCAUGUUCAUCUAAUCCUUGCCAAAAUAAAGGAACCUGCAUAGAAGACAAAAAUAAUUCUUACAAGUGCAACUGUACUGUUCCUUACAUUGGGAAAAAUUGUGAACUGAAAGAUCCUUGUUCUGAAAACCCAUGCAAAAAUGGUGGAACUUGUAGUUUUAAUGAAAAAGGCUUCACUUGUAAAUGCAAGCAGCCCUACAGUGGGCCAACAUGUCUGAUAGAUCCUUGUUCUGAAAACCCAUGCAAAAAUGGUGGAACUUGUAGUUUUAAUGAAAAAGGCUUCACUUGCAAAUGCAAGCAGCCCUUCAGUGGACCAACAUGCCUGACAGAUCCAUGCACGGCGAAUCCUUCUGCAAAUGACGGAACAUGUAAAGUU